GCAGCUUUCGACGCCGCAGAUGUCCUCGGCGGCACGACCUCCGAGAUCAGGGAGCGCCCACGGCGCGCUCAGAAAUCUCGGAGGCGGCGUGCCGGCACAUACGCCAUAGCGACAACCACCAGGUGCAUUCGUCGUCUGCUUGAGCUGUAGUUUAGAGGCUGAUAACAAGAAAACUGUGCAAUCACCAGCCCUGCCACUUUGCCAACAUAGCUUUAUUGGCACACACUACUCACACAUAACAAAUUUAGCCAAAGUGAUAUUUCGUGGCAGUUGGUCUUUCACGUCCCAAAGCAACACCGAUUUAUUUUCUUAUCUGAUUUUUUUUGUUUCUCAGCUUGGUAUAUAUGUAUGUUCCUUUGUAUGUAUGCACAGUCAACCACAAGAGGUUACGGACCACGGGAUAUCAGAAAACAUUCCAACUGCUGAGCAGCCUGUAAUAGUAGUCAGUAAAACCGAACAUCAAUGCUGUUCACAUAUAAUGGUAGAGGCUGUAAAUGCGCAUACUAGGCUGCGCAGAUAUUCAGCUUCUUCUCAGAUCUCGUGUACCGUCAAAUAUUGUGGCUGACUGUACGUGCAACCAAAGCAAAGAACACGAGCGUUUUCGCAUUUACGAAUAGCGGCGGCCGCGAAAAUCGAACCUCGCGCUCAGCCUCAGAACACCACAGCGGGCCAGCACGGUGGAUAAAAUAAGGAAAAAAAAAAAAAGAGAUUGGAGUAUCAAUUAUUAAACGCGAAGGAAUAACUAAAAAAAAAUAUGAAAACGAAUCAAACUAAAUCUGGUAGAAAGGAACGAAAACAUUUAAGGUCAGCUGACGCGCAGCUGCGCGAGUUCUUCCUUUUAAAUGUUUUCGUUUUACUCUCCGACAGCCGCUAGAAAUAGCGCGCUCGUAAAGAUUUUACUGCGCAGCCAGACGACCCCCCUUAUGCAAAGGAAGGGAAAAAGAAAAAAAAUUUUUACUUUUGUAGGGUUAGUUAGCCCGAGGCGUGCCGAUUGUUCACGCAUGGCGGGCACGCUACCUUUAACGACUCCCAUGCUAAGGUCAGUGCGCAUCCAUCGUAAAUCAUGUGAAUCGACUAAACCGAACACGUAGCGAGCGUGGCCAUCAACGGCUGUAAUCACUGCCAGGUUAUCGCCAUGAAGGCGUCAAGGUUUCAACAAGGGCACGCAUUAAGACGGGACGAAAGAAGGCUGACACAGGAGAAGUGCGUCUUCUGGGGCUCCCGGCGAAUUCUUGUGUUCCUUCUAACUUCGACAUGACACCACUGCACUAUCGGACUACGGCAAGGUGAGAAACCUUGUUCGACAGUCUGCGAUG